rnacentral:rRNA from 1 species
AUACGGAGGGUGCAAGCGUUAAUCGGAAUUACUGGGCGUAAAGCGUACGUAGGCGGUUCGUUAAGUUAGAUGUGAAAGCCCCGGGCUUAACCUGGGAACUGCACUUAAAACUGGCGGACUAGAGUUGAGUAGAGGGGAGUGGAAUUUCAGGUGUAGCGGUGAAAUGCGUAGAGAUCUGAAGGAACACCAGUGGCGAAGGCGACACCCUGGACUCGAACUGACGCUGAGGUACGAAAGCGUGGGUAGCAAACGGGAUUAGAAACCCUAGUAGUCC